rnacentral:rRNA from 1 species
CCUACGGGAGGCAGCAGUCGGGAAUAUUGCGCAAUGGGCGAAAGCCUGACGCAGCGACGCCGCGUGAGGGAUGAAGGCCUUCGGGUUGUAAACCUCUUUCAGCAGGGACGAAGCGAGAGUGACGGUACCUGCAGAAGAAGCACCGGCCAACUACGUGCCAGCAGCCGCGGUAAU